rnacentral:misc_RNA from 1 species
AGAUGCUACAUGACUUCUGGAAGCCAGUUAAUUGGAAGGAAACAAUGCUAAAUGGCCCUAUUUGUGCUCAAAACAAAUUUGCUUUGUUUUAUGUCUAUAAAACACAAGUUCUAGAGACAUAAAACAAACUACCAAGAAGCAAAGCUCUAGUAUUUUCACCAAUAAAUAACUAAACAACCAUAUCGAAGAGCACGGUAUGACUCACUCUUCUUUCCUAGCUUUAGAUCUUGCAGGUCUUGCUGGCUUGAUCACUUUACUGAGCAGGAUUAGUACAAUCGGUAUAACGGUUCCAAUAUAGUAUACACUUCCAUAAGAAGUGAGUGUUUCGUGCAGACUUAAUACCAUGAAGCCAACGGCAGAGUAGUUUAGAAUCAAUAGUGUGUAUGCGAAGCUUAUUAACGUUAGUAUCUUCUCGAACAGAGUACCUUUUGUAGCUUGCUGCCAUCGGUAGAUGACUCUUGAUCCAGCAAUCAUCAAAGCCGACUGAACAAAGAAAAUAAUGUACCCCGGAUAUAGACCAUGCCAUACAGCACUAAUAGUCUGUGUAGCCAGCAACUGGAAGAAACCAGCCUUCUUUCCCUUCUGUACGAGCCUCUCAUAUACAUAGUGUCGCAGCCAGGUGCUGACUUGAAUGUUCCAUACAAGGGGUAACUGAACUGAACUUUUUGCCAGCUCAACACCCAAAACAUCAACAUUUUUCGCACGGUCCCAGCGUGGUUUCGGUGGCGAAGAGUCUGUCCAACCACUGAACCCCAAGCCAGAAAUAAUGACAGCAGAUUCUGAGAUCGACCAGAUGAAAUAAUAUUUCCACCGGGCAGUAAAACACGCCAUAUAUUGGUAACUCAACCGUUUAAAGAAACCCCAUUCUUGGUACAACGGGUCAGAGAACCUGGAAAGCGGGUAAAAAGGCACAAGAUAGAGAUACAACCCCAUACAAAUAGCUGCUUGAAGAAGAGAUCUCAAAGUUGCCCCAAGAGGUGAUGGGUGUCCUUUCUCGGAAGAUUUCCAUAUGCCAUUUCUCUCUGUCCAGUCAAGGUAAUCCUUCAUUUCAUAAACUGGACCAGCAAAAUGACUUCCGCAACAGAGACAAUAACCGAAGUACUCGAGUAAUGAUGGCAACUUGAGCAAACGAUUUUUCUUCUGAGCCUCACGCAAAUCCUCCUCCUUCAACAACCCAUCUUGGUAAUUGAUUGCAGAUGAAAUAAUUUUAAGUGUUACCACCAUUAAAGCUCCUGUUGCGUCAAUACCUCCUUCCUUCCAUGCAUCCCCACUCAUGUAGUACACAUGGCAUCCAAUAAGGUAACCAAAAGCAAUGAAGAAAGUGAUGAUCCCACAAUAAGGCCGAUAGAUAACCAUAGAAGCAUAACCCAAAAGCAUAGGCACCAAAAAGUGAAGAUUUGAACUGAAUCCGAAAGACAAGUAUGAAAGAACACCACCCAUCACGGCGGCGUAGAGAUGUCUUCCGGUGGAAGAAGGAACAAAACGGUGGAAGAAGCUCACCGGAAUAGUUGCAACGAAACAAAGAAGAAAUCGGAGCACCGGCACCGAUACUCCGAUCGCCGUCGCCAUUGAUUCCAUUAUCAGCAAUCUUCUUCCUUGCAAGUUGUCCCGAGAUCGACGACUUCAUAUAUUUCCUCUCGAGGA